AUUGAACGCUGGCGGCAGGCCUAACACAUGCAAGUCGAGCGUGCGGCGGACGGGUGAGUAAUGUCUGGGAAACUGUCUGAUGGAUGGGGAUAACUACGGGAAACGGUAGCUAAUACCGCGUACAAUCAGCUGUGCCCAGAUGGGAUUAGCUAGUAGGUGGGGUAAUGGCUCACCUGGGCGACGAUCCCUAGCUGGUCUGAGAGGCUGACCAGCCACACUGGAACUGAUACACGGCCCAGACUCCUACGGGAGGCAGCAGUGGGGAAUAUUGCACAAUGGGCGCAAGCCUGAUGCAGCCAUGCCGCGUGUGUGAAGAAGGCCUUCGGGUUGUAAAGCACUUUCAGCGGGGAGGCGUUACCCGCAGAAGAAGCACCGGCUAACUCCGUGCCAGCAGCCGCGGUAAUUC
rnacentral:rRNA from 1 species